GGACAGUGUCUGGUGGGUAGUUUGACUGGGGCGGUCUCCUCCUAAAGAGUAACGGAGGAGCACGAAGGUUGGCUAAUCCUGGUCGGACAUCAGGAGGUUAGUGCAAUGGCAUAAGCCAGCUUGACUGCGAGCGUGACGGCGCGAGCAGGUGCGAAAGCAGGUCAUAGUGAUCCGGUGGUUCUGAAUGGAAGGGCCAUCGCUCAACGGAUAAAAGGUACUCCGGGGAUAACAGGCUGAUACCGCCCAAGAGUUCAUAUCGACGGCGGUGUUUGGCACCUCGAUGUCGGCUCAUCACAUCCUGGGGCUGAAGUAGGUCCCAAGGGUAUGGCUGUUCGCCAUUUAAAGUGGUACGCGAGCUGGGUUUAGAACGUCGUGAGACAGUUCGGUCCCUAUCUGCCGUGGGCGCUGGAGAACUGAGGGGGGCUGCUCCUAGUACGAGAGGACCGGAGUGGACGCAUCACUGGUGUUCGGGUUGUCAUGCCAAUGGCACUGCCCGGUAGCUAAAUGCGGAAGAGAUAAGUGCUGAAAGCAUCUAAGCACGAAACUUGCCCCGAGAUGAGUUCUCCCUGAC
rnacentral:rRNA from 1 species